rnacentral:rRNA from 1 species
GACGUAGGAGGCGAGCGUUGUCCGGAUUCAUUGGGCGUAAAGAGCACGCAGGCGGUUUGGCAAGUCGGAUGUGAAAACCCGAAGCUCAACUUCGGGCCUGCAUCCGAAACUGCCCGACUAGAGGUAGGUAGGGGAGAUCGGAAUUCCUGGUGUAGCGGUGAAAUGCGCAGAUAAUCAGGAGGAACACCGGUGGCGAAGGCGGGAUCUCUGGGCCUUACCUGACGCUGAGGUGCGAAAGCUAGGGGAGCGAACG